GACGGAGGGUGCUAGCGUUGUUCGGAAUUACUGGGCGUAAAGAGCGUGUAGGCGGCUAGAUAGGUCCGUUGUGAAAACUCGAGCUCAACCUCGAGACGCCGGUGGAAACCAUCUAGCUAGAGUCCGGAAGAGGAGAGUGGAAUUCCUGGUGUAGCGGUGAAAUGCGCAGAUAUCAGGAAGAACACCCGUGGCGAAGGCGGCUCUCUGGUACGUGACUGACGCUGAGACGCGAAAGCGUGGGGAGCGAACAGG
rnacentral:rRNA from 1 species